rnacentral:rRNA from 1 species
UACGUAGGCAGCAAGCGUUGUUCGGAGUUACUGGGCGUAAAGAGUGCGUAGGCGGUGUCGAAAGUUUGGCGUGAAAUCUCCCGGCUUAACUGGGAGGGUGCGCCGAAAACUGCGAUGCUGGAGUGUGGGAAAGGCAAGCGGAAUUCCUGGUGUAGCGGUGAAAUGCGUAGAUAUCAGGAGGAACACCGAUGGCGAAGGCAGGUCUCUGGGCUGACACUGACGCUCAUGCACGAAAGCGUGGGGAGCAAACAGG